rnacentral:rRNA from 1 species
UACGUAGGGUGCAAGCGUUGUCCGGAAUUAUUGGGCGUAAAGAGCUCGUAGGCGGUUUGUCGCGUCGAAUGUGAAAACCCGGGGCUCAACCCCCGGGCCUGCAUUCGAUACGGGGCAGACUAGAGUUCGGUAGGGGAGUCUGGAAUUCCUGGUGUAGCGGUGAAAUGCGCAGAUAUCAGGAGGAACACCGGUGGCGAAAGGCGGGACUCUGGGCCGAUACUGACGCUGAGGAGCGAAAGCGUGGGGAGCAAACAGG